UAAAAGCAGUGAAAUUCCAGGGAGCACA
rnacentral:piRNA from 1 species